rnacentral:lncRNA from 1 species
GGGUGGAGUUGCCUUCAAUUCAAUUGAUGGAGAUUUGGAGCAUUUGAAAGCUAGCGACUGCCUGCCAACUACUAUUUUCCACCACAUACCUAAAUUCUAUUGACAUCAUGUAGCAAAAGCUCCUGGUCAUUUUCACCAUUCACCUUCCUAAGAGCCCUUUUAUUUAUUUCAUUUGUCACGUACUUUUUGUUUGUUUGUUAUCAUCAGAAGCGUAACAUGAUAGCAUUCAAGGCCGUGGGAUUUUUCUCACACACACAAUUAUGAUAUUGUGGGAAUUUGAACUUGAGACUUAUCGUGUGUUUGGCAAAAGGAAAAAAAGACGGGAUUUGAAAAAAAAAUCGUGAUUUGACCGAUGGAAAAGGGAAAUCCAUGUGUUUGCCAAAAUCUACUAGGGAUUUGGCAAAUCACUUGAGGGAAAUAUGGAGGGAUUUCCCAAUCCAAAAUCCCAAGUUUAAAUCCUAUCAUAAUUGGUGGAAUUGUGCAAAUCUCAAGAGCGGGGGAAAUUCCAUUUGCUGCGCACCAACAAAGACACCUAUAUCAGUUUUCUAACAAGAGUGGGAGAAGAAGGCCAUCUAUCCAAGUUUCGCUGGUAAGCUUUCAAUCUAGUUGCAAUUUUUAACAUUUUUUUGUUGAUAUUAUUGAUGGGUAUUCAAUUUAAUGAGUUUGAUCAAUCUAUCUCUAUUACUUGUUUUGGUUAUCUGAUUCUUUAUCUAAUGGGUUUGAUUGGGCUCCGUUCGUAUUCACUCUCUCUUUUUGUUUUUUUUUGAAACCAGAAUUCGACCCAAAAAAAUAAAAGUUAAUCAUCUUUUUUUAUCUGAUACAUAGUGGUUUUCAGAUUUUGCCAUCUAUCAUCUUUCAGUCUAAGAUUCUGUUUGCUCCAAUAAAGGUAUAGUCUCUCAACUUAUCCUUGCCUUUUCAAUCUAUGUUGUUCCAAUAAAGGAUAGAUUAUUGUUGUGAAAUUAUUGUUUCUUGUAGUUUGCAUAAUUUCUUGUAGUUUCUGUUAUGGUCUCUUCUUCUGUCUGUUUGACUAAGUUUUGGGUUUAAGAAUUUGUUUUUGUGGUUUGUCAAACUAGUGGAAAAAGGUAUGUAUUAUUGUAAAUUGGAAUUUUAUUGCAUAAGACAAAAUAGUUAGCCAAUGGCGUAGAACACAUUUUUCAUUCUCAUAUUAUCUUUAUUAAUUAUUUUUAUUUAUUACAAGUACCUUAAAUAGUAGUUGGAAUGAUUGGAUUCAUUUGUUUUGAUUUACUGUUACACUUGUUUUUUGAGUAAUAUAGAUGAUUUUAUCUUGAUUACUAUUUUGAGUAAUAACAGUAGUCGAUUAUGAAUUUUUUAUUUAUUUAAGGGAUUUAAAUGUUACCAGCUUUACAAUUGCGUGCUUUAGGUUAAUCCAACUUUGGCUGAAGAGUAAAAUGCAGGCGUCUUUUCUUCAACUCGUAAAAGCUGCCAAGUUCAAAGAAUGAAGGGGAUUCUUUAUCUUGUUUUACUCGUUCUUAUGUUGUAUUGACUUUCGAAGGGGAGACAUAGACGGUUUUAUUCUCUACAAUUUUAAUUUUAAAAUUCCUUCUAUGAUUAUCCAAACGGGGAAAUUGUAAUUUCUGUCAUUUCCUAAAUUCUAUACACAAGAUAUCCAAAC